UACGUAAGGACCGAGCGUUGUCCGGGAUCAUUGGGCGUAAAGGGUACGUAGGCGGUUAGAAAAGUUAGAAGUGAAAGGCUAUAGCUCAACUAUAGUAAGCUUUUAAAACUGCUCAUCUUGAGGUAUGGAAGGGAAAGUGGAAUUCCUAGUGUAGCGGUGAAAUGCGUAGAUAUUAGGAAGAAUACCGGUGGCGAAGGCGACUUUCUGGCCUUUUUCUGACGCUGAGGUACGAAAGCGUGGGUAGCAAACAGG
rnacentral:rRNA from 1 species